rnacentral:rRNA from 1 species
UACAUGGUUGAUCCUGCCAGUAGUCAUAUGCUUGUCUCAUAGAUUAAGCCAUGCAUGUGUAAGUAUGAAUAAAUUCAAACUGUGAAACUGCGAAUGGAUCAUUAAAUAAGUUAUAGUUUGUUUGAUGGUAUCCACUACUCGGAUAACCAUAGUAAUUCUAGAGCUAAUACGUGCAACAAACCCCGACUUCUGGAAGGGAUAAAUUUAUUAGAUAAAAGGUCGACGCGGGCUCUACCUGUUGCUGCGAUGAUUCAUGAUAACGGCCUCAAACUAGCUAUACGGAGGUAUCCCUUCGCGGCCAGCUUCUUAGAGGGACUACGGCCUUUUAGGCCGCAGAAGUUUGAGGCAAUAAUAGGUCUGUGAUUCCCUUAGAUGUUCUGGGCCGCACGCGCGCUAUACUGAUAUAUUCAACGAGUUUAUAGCCUUGGCCGACAGGCCCGGGUAAUCUUUGAAAUUUCAUCGUGAUGGGGAUAGAUCAUUGCAAUUGUUGGUCUUCAACAAGGAAUUCCUAGUAAGCGCGCGUCAUCAGCUCGCGUUGACUACGUCCCUGCCCUUUGUAUACACCACCCGUCGCUCCUACCGAUUGAAUGAUCUGGUGAAAUGUGUGGAUCGCGGCGACGUGGGCGGUUCGCUGCACGUGACGUCGCGAGAAGUCCAUUGAACCUUAUCUUUAAGAGGAAGGUGAAGUCGUAACAAGGUUUCCGUAGGUGAACCUGCAGAAGGAUCAUUG